GUGGGUGUAGCUCAAAUGGAUAGAGUGACAGAUUCCGAUUCUGUAGGCUGAAGGUUCAAUUCCUUUCACCCACA
rnacentral:tRNA from 1 species